rnacentral:rRNA from 1 species
AGUGAACGCUGGCGAUAGGCCUAACACAUGCAAGUCGAACGGCAGCACAGUAAGAGCUUGCUCUUACGGGUGGCGAGUGGCGGACGGGUGAGGAAUACAUCGGAAUCUACUUUUUCGUGGGGGAUAACGUAGGGAAACUUACGCUAAUACCGCAUACGACCUACGGGUGAAAGCAGGGGAUCUUCGGACCUUGCGCGAUUGAAUGAGCCGAUGUCGGAUUAGCUAGUUGGCGGGGUAAAGGCCCACCAAGGCGACGAUCCGUAGCUGGUCUGAGAGGAUGAUCAGCCACACUGGAACUGAGACACGGUCCAGACUCCUACGGGAGGCAGCAGUGGGGAAUAUUGGACAAUGGGCGCAAGCCUGAUCCAGCCAUACCGCGUGGGUGAAGAAGGCCUUCGGGUUGUAAAGCCCUUUUGUUGGGAAAGAAAAGCAGCAGGUUAAUACCCCGCUGUUCUGACGGUACCCAAAGAAUAAGCACGGGCUAACUUCGUG